rnacentral:lncRNA from 1 species
AGGAGGAAAUCCUAUGUGUCUGCUCCCGGAGCUGCCACAACCCAUCUUCCCACAACUCGGAACUUGGAAAAAGGAACCCAGGACACGACUUUGCUUUUCUUUUGGACCUAGUUGAAGUCACAGCUUGGAGGAAACCAGUUUGCACUAUUUGAUGAGGAAUUUGGCCACCAAACCACUGAUACUUUCCCAAAGAUACAAGUUAACAGGAUAUGCUUCUGGCCUGUUUCUGGAUUCUAAGGGUAGAACCAGCAUAAAACUAGUCAGUCCAAGUAUUUCUAAAGAUCCACAGACACAGUUCUCCUGGAUUUGGGAAGCCUAGAGAUAUUAGCACAAUAAUUAAGGCCCAACAACUUUUAAAAGCCUUUCCACUGCACAGUGAAAGAAAACCACAAACUCCUUGUUUAAUAAGUGGGAUCACGUGCUUUUAACACGAGGAAAAGGUCAAUCUGAAGCAACUGAUAUGGAACUGCCAGAGUAGGAGUUGAAAAUCUUCCUAAACUGCUGGAGGAUACACCUCUGAUAGCUUGAGACAAAUAUCCUCUUGAUCAUUGUUUCACCAUAUUUGUCUUUGCUCAUGGAGAACCAUUUUGAUCCGUGGUUUAGCCUCCCAGGUGAUUGAACAAUACCGGUGAUCUGAGGCAGACCCUCUGUGACGGAUAAC